UGAGGCAGGGAGAGUGAAGCCCCGAUGGCACAGUCUGACGGGCGCAUCAUGUGUGGCAAGUUGUGGUCGCUCCUCCAUUUGCUGUGCCUCUCGCUGGCCAGCUGUGGGGCAGCCAGCGACGAGUAUUACACGGCGGGCGUGGCGGAAUUCCGUCCGGCGCUGACCGGCGGCAGUUCGGAGCAGCUGCUGCAGGAGAAUCUGUCCGCCUAUCUGGAGCUGAUUGAGGCGGCCAAUGGCACAGCCGAUAUACUCAUUUUUCCCGAGGGCACACUGAACAGCCAGCUGCAGUUGACGGCGGUGCCGGCGCCCUCGCGUCGCUCACUGUGCCACAUAACGACCGGAUAUGAGGUGCACGACUUCCUCCGGCAACUGGCCUGCGCCGCUCUUGUCGCCCAAAGCUAUCUGGUGGUCAAUGUCAAGGAGCGGGAGAGCUGUGCGCCGGACGACGAGUGCCCCGCGCGCGGCUAUCGUCUGUACAAUACGAAUGUGGUGCUGGAUCGCAGUGGGGCGGUGGUGUCGCGUUAUCGCAAAUGGAAUUUGUAUCUGGAGCCGCAGCUGAAUCGCACCCGGGCGCCCGAAUACGCCAUCUUCGAGACGGACUUCAAUGUGACCUUCGGCCAUUUCAUAUGCUUCGAUAUGCUCUUCUAUACGCCCGCCCAGGAGCUGGUCGAGCGCUACGAUCUACAGCAUUUGAUUGUCAGCAAUAUGUUCAAGUCGGAGCUACCCUUUCUAACGGCCAGCCAGUUCCAGCAGGGCUGGGCCUGGGCGAACAAUGUGAAUCUGUUGGCAGCCGGCGCCAGUCUGCCCCACGGCGGCAUCACCGGCAGCGGCAUCUAUGCGGGUCGUCGCGGCGCUCUCGUCCGGCGCAUGGUGGGCGACACAGCCGUCGGCGAGCGUCAGCUGUUGCUGGCCCGCGUGCCACGUUGGCCGCUGCUGGAGGGCAGCGCCAUCGAGCUGGAUGCGGAGCGCGUGGGUCCGGCGCAGCUCAAAUUGGAGAUGCUGCAGCAGCCGCAGCUGGAGGAGUUCAAUAGCUGGCAGGUGCCGCUGCUCAAUGGCAGCCUGCAGCAGCAGCGCCUCUGCCAGGCGGAUCUGUGCUGCGACUUUGAGCUGCAAAUGGAAGCGCCAGCGGCCCGCACCGCGUACAACUAUCGCCUCGGCGUCUUUGUCGGCCAGCGGCGUUACGAGGAGGAGGAAUACACGGUGGUCCGGCUGUGCGGCCUAUUUGCCUGCCGCAACGACAGCGUCCUCAGCUGCGGCCUGCUGGCCGAGCAGCCAGCGGAGGCGAGCCCACAGCCCGGAGCAGCUGUGCUCUUCAGACGGCUGCGAGUUACCGGCGAAUUCGUGCAACGGCCGCGACGCCUGCUCAUGCCCAGCACGCUGAGCGCCGCGCUUUAUGCCCUGCAGGCCACCGAAAUCGACUGGUACACGCGCUCCGAUGCUGAGGGGGCGUGGCGCGGCGAGCGCGCAACCCAGGUGCAGCUGGUGCUGAAAAAGGCGCACUCGCAGCUGCUGACCUUUGCCAUCUAUGGCAACUACUUUGAUGAGUACGCUGCGGAUGGGCAGGGCGGAGGCGGAGGCGGAGGGGGUGGCACCUCUCAGCUGGCCGGGGGCGUUUGGGGCAUGGCUGUCGGUUUGCUGAUGUCUUAUCAUGCGGCUAACCGUUAAGAAAACACUUUGUUGAUUAGUUCAUAUCAUGCACAGGCACAGGCGACAAAUGUGUCAAAUUCGCAUAGACUGCGGUGUAUUGAAUCUAUUAUUUAACCAUGUAUUUAUCAAGCUCGACUUUUGAAAAAUCAAAAGCAAAAGUCGGCUUCGAUGACUUCUAGAGUUUACCAGAUAUACCAUAAUUUGUAUGAUAUCACUUUUAGAUUUGGAUUAAAGAUCUACAGGGUAUCUCUCAGUCCCGAACGUUUUGUAUUUUUCCGAUUAUUUGUUAACAGUUUUUGGUUCAGCGGGAAACUUAUUAUAAUUUUUU